UACGUAGGGCGCAAGCGUUGUCCGGAAUUAUUGGGCGUAAAGAGCUCGUAGGCGGUCCGUCACGUCUGCCGUGAAAACCCGAGGCUUAACCUCGGGCCUGCGGUGGAUACGGGCGAACUAGAGGUAGGUAGGGGAGAACGGAAUUCCUGGUGUAGCGGUGGAAUGCGCAGAUAUCAGGAGGAACACCGGUGGCGAAGGCGGGUCUCUGGGCCGUUACUGACGCUGAGGAGCGAAAGCGUGGGGAGCGAACAGG
rnacentral:rRNA from 1 species